ACACACACACACACACACAGAUAUUAAUAAAGUAAUGAUAUGUAUAAUCGUCCUUCAAAUUGUUUAUUUGGAGGUACGUAGCAUAGUAGUACAAAGCUUUAAGAAUAUAAGCAAGUUUUUACCGUUAUUUCGGUGGGAGAGGUUAAGGGGGUAGGAUUGAUGUUUCGAAGGGAAAGAGGAGAAGAUUGGAGGGGAACACGGCAGGUGUUCAUACACAAAGAAACUGAAAGGAAUCCCACGGCCAUCGACUUGAGUUGUGAGAAUCUUUCGUUUACGUGUUAGAUCUGCUAAAAUCAAUCAGGGCAUGAUCGAUUUGAAAAAUGAUUAUAGAUCGAAUUUAAAGCCCGGUAUCCUUGGAUGAGUGUGGAUCUAGUCACGAAUAAAAUCAAAAAACGUGGACUGAAUUCAAACCCAUCCAGGGCCGCCGGAUAAUCGAUUUUCUUCGGCAAGUUGUUGCUUUAAAGCAAAAAAAUAAAUUUUUCGUAGAUAUUAUCUUGAGAAGAAUCAGACACCACUAACUCCGUCAGCAGUCACAACGUAGAAUGAUGCGUUUGUAAACGCUGUUAUAGUGGAAAUUAUAGGUAGGGGAAUCGAGAGAAGGGGACUUGGAGGUUUGCCCUCCCUACUUCUUCGACCAGUAAAACCCUUAGAAGUGGGAGAAAGGCCCCUACAGAAUCACACAAAGAAAGAUUUACACGGAACAUCUCGCUUGGAAUUAAAUGAUAUUGCUGACAUUGUGAAACCAUUAUAGAAUGUAUUUUUUUCAGUCUGAAAUUACUACGUUGUUCUCUAGAUUUCUAGAGUCUUAUUUAUUUAAAUAUAUACAAAUAUUUAUAUUAAAAUUUUCCUAAUAAUUUUAACACAUGGAUCGCAUCAAAAUCAAAAUCUUAAUACUUUAAAUAAGGCAAUAUUGAAUAUAUUUGUUGGAGUGUAUCAAGCAUGUAUAUAAACACGUUUAUCAUUGUUUAUGUCCUCUCUCUUUCUACGUAAGAUAAAUAAUGACUAGGAUUAUCACUAUGCAUGUAAAAAGCAUACCACCGACUAAAAUAAAUCCAUCUUGACGAGCUCUAUGUUCUAUAAGCCUCAUAGUUGUAUUUGAAAGACCUAAAGUGUUACCAAUAUCUAUCAAACGUUUGUGAGCUCCCUUUAAAGUAAUUCUUUGCGAUCUUAGACUAUCUAAGAUCCCUGUUCCAUGCGAAAUAAGAUCGUCUACACCAUUUACUGCAUUUCGUAAACUAUAAUUAUGUUGUGUAUUUUGAUCUAUCAUAAUAUCAAUGUGAUCAUUCGCAGUAAAUGUUUGCGACAAUAA